UUUCCUCAAAAACGGUGGGAACAUGUCCACGACACUCAAGACUUCCUCAACCCCAACGAAGCACGUGGGUAUAACACAGGACAAAAAAAAGUCCGGGGUUACAUACUAUGUACUCUCAGAAAGACAGAACUAAAGAGACCGCUCGAGGAAAUUUUUCACAACACAAACAUGAAGUAGCGGGAGCUCAAAGAGCUGUUCUGCCUGCCCUUGCUGACAAGGGAACCGGCCAACAGCGGCUUGGGGAAUCUACAACUUGCUUCCUGGUUGCUAAACACAAGACUCCAUAAAGUUAUGGCACGAUGUUGAGUAGCAUGGCAUCAUGCGCCCCCAUCGUGUGUUCCUGACUGACAAAAGUCUCAUACUCAUGCAGUAAGAGUUUGGCAAGGAUAGCAUGUGCACCACUAGAUGCUUCUCGAGUUUGUAUAAAUCUCGAUCCCAACAUCAUGAUGUUUUAGGGCAAGCGAGUGUAUCAUAUGCACGCAACGCAUUUUGGCUGAGAGUACGUGGGGGGAGAAUACAUAGGCGGCCACACAUAAUCCGGGGAAUAAUAUCCGGUAAGGCC